rnacentral:rRNA from 1 species
AUUGAACGCUGGCGGUAUGCUUAACACAUGCAAGUCGAACGGUAACAGGCCCAGCUUGCUGGGUGCUGACGAGUGGCGGACGGGUGAGUAACGCGUAGGAAUCUACCUUGUAGUGGGGGAUAACUUGGGGAAACUCAAGCUAAUACCGCAUAAGCCUUACGGGGGAAAGCGGGGGAUCUUCGGACCUCGUGCUAUAAGAUGAGCCUGCGUCAGAUUAGCUUGUUGGUGGGGUAAAGGCCUACCAAGGCGAUGAUCUGUAGCUGUUCUGAGAGGAAGAUCAGCCACACUGGGACUGAGACACGGCCCAG